rnacentral:rRNA from 1 species
UGGGGAAUUUUGGACAAUGGGCGAAAAGCCCUGAUCCAGCAAUGCCGCGUGUGUGAAGAAGGCCUUCGGGUUGUAAAGCACUUUUGUCCGGAAAGAAAUCCUUGGCUCUAAUACAGUCGGGGGAUGACGGUACCGGAAGAAUAAGCACCGGCUAACUACGUGCCAGCAGCCGCGGUAAUACGUAGGGUGCAAGCGUUAAUCGGAAUUACUGGGCGUAAAGCGUGCGCAGGCGGUUUGCUAAGACCGAUGUGAAAUCCCCGGGCUCAACCUGGGAACUGCAUGGUGACUGGCAGGCUAGAGUAUGGCAGAGGGGGGUAGAAUUCCACGUGUAGCAGUGAAAUGCGUAGAGAUGUGGAGGAAUACCGAUGGCGAAGGCAGCCCCCCUGGGCCAAUACUGACGCUCAUGCACGAAAGCGUGGGGAGCAAACAGGAUUAGAUACCCUGGUAGUCCACGCCCUAAACGAUGUCAACUAGUUGUUGGGGAUUCAUUUUCCUUAGUAACGUAGCUAACGCGUGAAGUUGACCGCCUGGGGAGUACGGUCGCAAGAUUAAAACUUAAAUGAAUUG